rnacentral:lncRNA from 1 species
UUUCACACAAGUCAUUCACAGAUGCCUCAAUGAAUGGACUUUAUUGCAGAGGGGACAUGUCCUCCAAGAGUUAAAACGAGGUUGUGCUAGGAAUUCCAUGAAGUCACUGGAAUCUGAACCGAGGAGUGCCAUUCGGUAAUGAUGCCACCUGCAUUUCCUGUUGUAAUUUCUGACAAGGCAUCUGAGUUUUCUGGCAAGCAGGAUGCACAUCAGGGUGCACCAGGGGCAGGUCGUGGUAACUUCCGCCCUAGAGCACAUGCAGGGCUUCCUGUUUUGGUCUGAUAGCUUCCCCUGGGCUUUGUAGAUGCAACAUUACCCACACAUUGAUGGGUUGCCCAUGCAAAAGAGUAGGUGUCUUAUUUUUGGAAAGGUUUGUUUCACAUAAUUUUUGUUGUUUAUCCUCAUACCCUAUUUCUUUUUAUAUUUCACGCUAGCAUUAUAAAUGUCAUUUCUCC